rnacentral:rRNA from 1 species
GACGAACGCUGGCGGCGUGCUUAACACAUGCAAGUCGAACGGAAAGGCCCUGCUUUUGUGGGGUGCUCGAGUGGCGAACGGGUGAGUAACACGUGAGUAACCUGCCCUUGACUUUGGGAUAACUUCAGGAAACUGGGGCUAAUACCGGAUAGGAGCUCCUGCUGCAUGGUGGGGGUUGGAAAGUUUCGGCGGUUGGGGAUGGACGCGCGGCUUAUCAGCUUGUUGGUGGGGUAGUGGCUUACCAAGGCUUUGACGGGUAGCCGGCCUGAGAGGGUGACCGGCCACAUUGGGACUGAGAUACGGCCCGGACUGCUACGGGAGGCAGCAGUGGGGAAUAUUGCACAAUGGGCGGAAGCCUGAUGCAGCAACGCCGCGUGCGGGAUGACGGCCUUCGGGUUGUAAACCGCUUUCGCCUGUGACGAAGCGUGAGUGACGGUAAUGGGUAAAGAAGCACCGGCUAACUACGUG